UAAUACAUUGCUUUCUUUAGCCAUAAUGGUAUUAUAUCACCAAUUUUAUACAUACAGCCUACUACUUUACUAAGAUCGUUGCUCAGCUUGUGGACAUGAUUGCCCCAGGCGAAGUUCUCCUGAAACCAUACCCCCAAAAACUUUUGCGUUGUUACUUGUUCAAGCCUCUUUGCUUCAAAUAUAACAUUGAUAUUAACAGGCAAUGGCUUAUUUAUUGGUUUAAAUAUGAUAUAUAUUUAGUUUUGUUGACAUUCAAUUGAAGUUUGUUUAUGUACAGCCAUUCAGAUAAUAAAUUCAAGUAAUCAUUCAUUUCUUUUUCUAUGCAUUGCAGGGAAUAAUUUGCAAAGAAACGAUUGGGGUCAUCCGCAUACAUUAUGAUAUUAGAGAAAAAGCACUUCAAGCCAUACAGGUUCACUUUUUGGAGGAAGCAUUAAAGUACCUAGAGCAGCUACUUGUGGCCUGAAGCAUCCAAACAACAGGGCGAUAUGAAUUUCAAUGUGGCAAAGUAUGCUGUCAAAUCCUUAGUUUUUAUUGGUUACCUUAGCCUGCAGCAAAAUGAUAAUAAAAAGCCAUAAAUUCCUA